UCAAAGAUAGUACAUUGACCGGUACAAAUUUCUUUGCAGCAACAGGACCACCGUCUAUCUCCACACUGUCGCUUGACUGCACUAGACCAUCAGGAUGUUUCCCGCCUGGUAAAGUUUGUAAUACGAGUGACACCAUCCCUAAAGCAUGCCCAACAACUGCAACACCAACUAUUACAGCAGAUCCAAAAACAAAGAAGAGCCACUGUGGAAAGAAGAAGCACAGUCGUCCAUGAAUUGAGGCAAAGACAAAAGAAAACAAUCGUUAAAUGUGUCACCUAACAGUUAAGACACAAAUAAAAAUUAAUCAAUCAAAUUUUGAUUUGUUAUAUGCCAUAAAAAAAUAUAUAUAUUUAAAGAAUUCGUUAUCUGUUGAAUCUUA